GAUGUAUUAUCAUUAAUCCAGAUUAUCUUGUUUGUGUAAGUAGCAUUAGUAAUGGAAUCACUUGCACCAGAAGAUCUAUCCUUGAGGAUCUAUUCAAAGGUUCUUCUCAAACAGAAGCUAUUUUGGUUGGUAAGUUACUCCACGAGAUGUUUCAAAAGGCAAUACUAGCCGCUUCACAGCAUGCAUCAGUGGUCACCAGAGACUUUGUACUAUCAUU